GAGGGCAUAGCUCAGUGGUAAAGUGUGUGCUUAGCAUGCAUUAAGUCCUGAGUUCAAGCCCCAGUACCUCCA
rnacentral:tRNA from 1 species